AUGAAUGAGCGGGCCUCGAUCCCACAAA
rnacentral:tRNA from 1 species